rnacentral:rRNA from 1 species
CGAACGCUGGCGGCGUGCUUAAUACAUGCAAGUCGAACGAGGACUAGAGAGCUUGCUCUCUAUAGCCGAGUGGCGAACGGGUGAGUAACACGUGACCAACCUGUCUUUAGGUGAGGGACAACCUGGGGAAACCUGGGCUAAUACCGCAUAAUGUCUUUUUUUCACAUGGGGAAGGGACCAAAGGGGGCCUCUGCUUGCAAGCUCUCGCCUGAUGAGGGGGUCGCGUCGUAUCAGCUUGUUGGUGAGGUAACGGCUCACCAAGGCGAUGACGCGUAGCGGGUCUGAGAGGACGAUCCGUCACAUUGGGACUGAGAUACGGCCCAGACUCCUACGGGAGGCAGCAGUAGGGAAUAUUGCGCAAUGGUCGAAAGACUGACGCAGCGACGCCGCGUGUGGGAGGAAGCCUUUCGGGGUGUAAACCACUGUCAGGGGGGAAGAAUCCCGAGCAUUCGAAUAGGGUGCUCGAUUGACGGUACCUCCAGAGGAAGCGCCGGCUAACUCC